ACAAAGUGGAGCAUAAAAGGAUAAGGAUUAAUUGCAUACGGAUAUCUGUAAAUAUAAUAAAUUAUAAAUAUAUUUUUAUAAAGUUCAACUUUCAUAUAUUAUUUCUAUAAAAGUUUUAAUAUUUUCAAAUAUGUUGUUGUCGUUAGAAUCUGUUAUAAAGAUAUAUUCAAUCAUAUGUUAAAUACUUAAUUCUAAUUAUUUUAUGAGAUAACUUGAUAUUUUUAUCCCUCUUAUAUUACACUAUUGUGACUUUUUUAGGUACAUAUUUGUGAUGAUAAAUUGAUAUUUUUUACUUAUUAAUUGUUAAAAUAUAAACUGUUCUCUAACGGUAACAAAUCAGAAGAAUAUACUUAAAAAUAUUAGAAUUUUUAUAGAAACAAUAUUUAAAAAUUAAAUUCUUGUAUAAAAAUAUAUUUAUAAUUCACUAUAUUUGCAUAAACCAUCCAAAAGAUAAAAUAUGAG
rnacentral:lncRNA from 1 species